CCUACGGGAGGCAGCAGUGGGGAAUAUUGGACAAUGGGGGGAACCCUGAUCCAGCGACGCCGCGUGAGGGAAGAAGGUUUUCGGUAUGUAAAGCUCUAUCAGCAGGGAAGAUAAUGACGGUACCUGACUAAGAAGCCCCGGCUAACUACGUGCCAGCAGCCGCGGUAAU
rnacentral:rRNA from 1 species